UACGUAGGGGGCAAGCGUUGUCCGGAAUCAUUGGGCGUAAAGCGCGUGUAGGCGGCCCGGUAAGUCCGCUGUGAAAGUCGGGGGCUCAACCCUCGAAUGCCGGUGGAUACUGUCGGGCUAGAGUGCGGGAGAGGCGAGUGGAAUUCCUGGUGUAGCGGUGAAAUGCGCAGAUAUCAGGAGGAACACCAAUUGCGAAGGCAGCUCGCUGGACCAACACUGACACUGAGGAGCGAAAGCCAGGGGAGCAAACGGG
rnacentral:rRNA from 1 species